ACAUGAUAAAGACUCACCGACACCGAACCAUAUUCAUUUAAAGGAAUUGUUUUCAACUGAGAUUUGAAAUUAUAUACACAAACGCAUCCAAUUGAAAAAAAAAAUCAAAAUAAUUAUAAAGUAUUUCAGUCAUCCUCUGUUCAAUCAUAAAAGAAUAAAAUCUAUGCGAACACGCGGUAUAUGGGUUAACAAGUCCCAAUAUUGUCCUCCAUCCUUUCUGCACUUCUCUGCUAUCAACGGACAUGCCUCGAUCUGUAAUUGCAAAAGUGAGGAAGGCAAGCCCUUCUCCGGAAAGUAUUUGAGCUUGGGACAAUCAAUGAGUCGCAAUUCAGUGAGGUUUUGAAGAUCAACAAUUGAAGAAGAUAGGCGUUCCAGAUUUGGAAAUCUACAAAUCCACAGAGAUGUUAGAGAGGCAGGAAGAGGAAGCGCGGUCCCCGAUCCUUUGUCAUCUGCCUUUGGUGGGAAUGACACCAUGUCGUCAUCACAUUUAAUGAUUCUAAGUUUUCGCAGAGAGGAGAAUCUGUGAAAUCCCCGGCCCCACUCAAUCAUUUGUGGGGGACAAUCCUUUCUGUACUUCUCUGCUAUCAACGGACAUCUAUGGAUGUAUAAACGCAAAAGUGAGGAAGGCAGGCCGUUCUCUGGAAAGUAUUUGAGCCUGGGACAAUUAUAGAGUUCCAAUGAAGUGAGGCUUUGAAGAUCAACAAUUGAAGAAGAUAGCCGUUCCAGAUCAACAUUUUUAUGGGGGUACUAAGAAAAAUAAAGAUAAUAUAAGGAAUGUUGUUGAGGAGUAUUUUGAUAUUUACAAAAGUGUUCAAAGUAAAAAUUGAUUUCUUAAAACUCAUUAGCUAGCGCACAUAAUAAUGGGGAGUAAAUUUUAGACUACGAAUAGUCCCACCCAUUUAAUAAUAUUCUUCGAUCAAUUAUGUUUACUUCAAAAAAAAAAAAAAAACCCAUCUGUUUAUUACUUUCUAACUAUUCAUAUUAAUGUGUUAAUAAUUAUGAAGAACCGGUGUAAUUUAUAUGAUGUAGGAAGCACUUUAGGCAAAAUCAUCUGAAUCUCAAAAUUUCGUGAUAUUGUGCCAAAUAUCCAAAACAGAGCUUCCUACAUUGCUAUAGCAGUUUUUAAAAGUUGAGGAGUCCAAAUAUCCAAUAACUGAUAAAUUGUGUUAAGAAAUAAAAAUAUUAAUGGUGAUGACACAUACGCAUGGAAUAUCUAUAUCCAACAGGUAAAAUUUCAAAACACCAUUUGCCAAAGUCUGAUGAAGAGAAUACAAAUACACACGCGCGCGCUCAUAUAUAUAACCGCACAGCAGAAGGAUAUAUAAAAUAAAUUGAAGUUUCAACAGUUGAACAAUGCAAACUCAUUUUAAAAAAGCCUUCUAUUGUUUAAUUAAAAAAUUCGAAAGCCAUUAUAUACAUGAUAAAGACUCACGGACACCGAACCAUAUUAAUUUAAAAUUAUUUUCAACUGAGAUUUGAAUUUUGAAAUUACAUACACCAACACGCCCGAUUUAAAAAAAAACUAAUAAUAAAAUAUUUAAGUCAUCCUCUGUUCAGUCAUCAAAAACCAAUUUACGAUUUAUUUCAACACAAACACACCCGAUCUAAAAUAAAAUCAAAAUAACAAUAAAAUAUUUCAACCGUCCUCUGUUCAGCCGUCAAAAACGGAUUUCCAAUCUAUGCGAACACGCGGUAUAUGGGUUAACAAGUCCCAAUAUUGUCCUCCAUCCUUUCUGCACUUCUCUGCUAUCAACGGACAUGCCUCGAUCUGUAAUUGCAAAAGUGAGGAAGGCAAGCCCUUCUCCGGAAAGUAUUUGAGCUUGGGACAAUCAAUGAGUCGCAAUUCAGUGAGGUUUUGAAGAUCAACAAUUGAAGAAGAUAGGCGUUCCAGAUUUGGAAAUCUACAAAUCCACAGAGAUGUUAGAGAGGCAGGAAGAGGAAGCGCGGUCCCCGAUCCUUUGUCAUCUGCCUUUGGUGGGAAUGACACCAUGUCGUCAUCACAUUUAAUGAUUCUAAGUUUUCGCAGAGAGGAGAAUCUGUGAAAUCCCCGGCCCCACUCAAUCAUUUGUGGGGGACAAUCCUUUCUGUACUUCUCUGCUAUCAACGGACAUCUAUGGAUGUAUAAACGCAAAAGUGAGGAAGGCAGGCCGUUCUCUGGAAAGUAUUUGAGCCUGGGACAAUUAUAGAGUUCCAAUGAAGUGAGGCUUUGAAGAUCAACAAUUGAAGAAGAUAGCCGUUCCAGAUCAACAUUUUUAUGGGGGUACUAAGAAAAAUAAAGAUAAUAUAAGGAAUGUUGUUGAGGAGUAUUUUGAUAUUUACAAAAGUGUUCAAAGUAAAAAUUGAUUUCUUAAAACUCAUUAGCUAGCGCACAUAAUAAUGGGGAGUAAAUUUUAGACUACGAAUAGUCCCACCCAUUUAAUAAUAUUCUUCGAUCAAUUAUGUUUACUUCAAAAAAAAAAAAAAAACCCAUCUGUUUAUUACUUUCUAACUAUUCAUAUUAAUGUGUUAAUAAUUAUGAAGAACCGGUGUAAUUUAUAUGAUGUAGGAAGCACUUUAGGCAAAAUCAUCUGAAUCUCAAAAUUUCGUGAUAUUGUGCCAAAUAUCCAAAACAGAGCUUCCUACAUUGCUAUAGCAGUUUUUAAAAGUUGAGGAGUCCAAAUAUCCAAUAACUGAUAAAUUGUGUUAAGAAAUAAAAAUAUUAAUGGUGAUGACACAUACGCAUGGAAUAUCUAUAUCCAACAGGUAAAAUUUCAAAACACCAUUUGCCAAAGUCUGAUGAAGAGAAUACAAAUACACACGCGCGCGCUCAUAUAUAUAACCGCACAGCAGAAGGAUAUAUAAAAUAAAUUGAAGUUUCAACAGUUGAACAAUGCAAACUCAUUUUAAAAAAGCCUUCUAUUGUUUAAUUAAAAAAUUCGAAAGCCAUUAUAUACAUGAUAAAGACUCACGGACACCGAACCAUAUUAAUUUAAAAUUAUUUUCAACUGAGAUUUGAAUUUUGAAAUUACAUACACCAACACGCCCGAUUUAAAAAAAAACUAAUAAUAAAAUAUUUAAGUCAUCCUCUGUUCAGUCAUCAAAAACCAAUUUACGAUUUAUUUCAACACAAACACACCCGAUCUAAAAUAAAAUCAAAAUAACAAUAAAAUAUUUCAACCGUCCUCUGUUCAGCCGUCAAAAACGGAUUUCCAAUCUAUGCGAACACGCGGUAUAUGGGUUAACAAGUCCCAAUAUUGUCCUCCAUCCUUUCUGCACUUCUCUGCUAUCAACGGACAUGCCUCGAUCUGUAAUUGCAAAAGUGAGGAAGGCAAGCCCUUCUCCGGAAAGUAUUUGAGCUUGGGACAAUCAAUGAGUCGCAAUUCAGUGAGGUUUUGAAGAUCAACAAUUGAAGAAGAUAGGCGUUCCAGAUUUGGAAAUCUACAAAUCCACAGAGAUGUUAGAGAGGCAGGAAGAGGAAGCGCGGUCCCCGAUCCUUUGUCAUCUGCCUUUGGUGGGAAUGACACCAUGUCGUCAUCACAUUUAAUGAUUCUAAGUUUUCGCAGAGAGGAGAAUCUGUGAAAUCCCCGGCCCCACUCAAUCAUUUGUGGGGACAAUCCUUUCUGUACUUCUCUGCUAUCAACGGACAUCUAUGGAUGUAUAAACGCAAAAGUGAGGAAGGCAGGCCGUUCUCUGGAAAGUAUUUGAGCCUGGGACAAUUAUAGAGUUCCAAUGAAGUGAGGCUUUGAAGAUCAACAAUUGAAGAAGAUAGCCGUUCCAG
rnacentral:lncRNA from 1 species